GCACGAGAAAGGGCUUCGGCCCCGGUAAAGUGGCGCACGGGUGAGUAACACGUGGGUAAUCUUCCCUCGAGCGGGGGAUAACAUUCCGAAAGGAGUGCUAAUACCGCAUAAGACCACGUCCUCGAAAGAGGAUGCGGUCAAAGCUGGCCUCUAUACAUAAGCUAGCACUUGAGGAUGAGCCCGCGGCCCAUCAGGCAGUUGGCAGGGUAAUGGCCUACCAAACCUAAGACGGGUAGCUGGUCUGAGAGGAUGAUCAGCCACACUGGAACUGAGACACGGUCCAGACUCCUACGGGAGGCAGCAGUGGGGAAUCUUGCGCAAUGGGGGAAACCCUGACGCAGCGACGCCGCGUGAGUGAUGAAGGCCUUCGGGUUGUAAAGCUCUGUGGGGAGAGAAGAAUUAGUGGAGGCUAAUCACUCCAUGAUGACGGUAUCUCCUUAGCAAGCACCGGCUAACUCUGUG
rnacentral:rRNA from 1 species